GAUGAACGCUGGCGGCGUGCCUAAUACAUGCAAGUCGAGCGAACGGACGAGAAGCUUGCUUUUCUGAUGUUAGCGGCGGACGGGUGAGUAACACGUGGAUAACCUACCUAUAAGACUGGGAUAACUUCGGGAAACCGGAGCUAAUACCGGAUAAUAUUUUGAACCGCAUGGUUCAAAAGUGAAAGACGGUCUUGCUGUCACUUAUAGAUGGAUCCGCGCUGCAUUAGCUAGUUGGUAAGGUAACGGCUUACCAAGGCAACGAUGCAUAGCCGACCUGAGAGGGUGAUCGGCCACUCUGGAACUGAGACACGGUCCAGACUCCUACGGGAGGCAGCAGUAGGGAAUCUUCCGCAAAGGGCGAAAGCCUGACGGAGCAACGCCGCGUGAGUGAUGAAGGUCUUCGGAUCGUAAAACUCUGUUAUUAGGGAAGAACAUAUGUGUAAGUAACUGUGCACAUCUUGACGGUACCUAAUCAGAAAGCCACGGCUAACUACGUG
rnacentral:rRNA from 1 species